rnacentral:lncRNA from 1 species
GUUGACCAAAUUCAAGAGGGAGCUCAAAGUAGCCGUUGCUAAUUUACCACAAGACCCCAACAUGCUUUGACUGUUAGGGAAGGGUCAACAGUAUAUACUAUGCCUUCGCAGUCAAGGGUAAUAUUUGGAGGAUGUCCUCUCGGAGGACAUCGCAUCGGUGUUGGGGGGGCAGGCUUACGUGGUGACCAAAGUAGGGCAAUGUAACAA